rnacentral:rRNA from 1 species
GACGAACGCUGGCGGCGUGCUUAACACAUGCAAGUCGAAUGGAAAGGCCCUGCUUUUGUGGGGUGCUCGAGUGGCGAACGGGUGAGUAACACGUGAGUAACCUGCCCUUGACUUUGGGAUAACUUCAGGAAACUGGGGCUAAUACCGGAUAGGAGCUCCUGCUGCAUGGUGGGGGUUGGAAAGUUUCGGCGGUUGGGGAUGGACUCGCGGCUUAUCAGCUUGUUGGUGGGGUAGUGGCUUACCAAGGCUUUGACGGGUAGCCGGCCUGAGAGGGUGACCGGCCACAUUGGGACUGAGAUACGGCCCAGACUCCUACGGGAGGCAGCAGUGGGGAAUAUUGCACAAUGGGCGGAAGCCUGAUGCAGCAACGCCGCGUGCGGGAUGACGGCCUUCGGGUUGUAAACCGCUUUCGCCUGUGACGAAGCGUGAGUGACGGUAAUGGGUAAAGAAACACCGGCUAACUACGUG